AGUUACGGACAAUGGGGGCAACCCUGAUCCAGCCAUCAUGCGUGUGCGAGGAAGGCCUUCGGGUUGUAAAGCACUCUUGGCUGGGACGAAAAGGAUCUGGCUACUACCUGGAGCUGCUGACGGUACCUGCAGAAGAAGCAGCGGCUAACUACGUGCCAGCAGCCGCGGUAAUACGUAGGGUGCAAGCGUUAAUCGGAAUUACUGGGCGUAAAGCGAGCGCAGGCGGUUCGGCAAGAAGGAUGUGAAAUCCCAGGGCUUAACCUUGGAACUGCAUUCUUAACUGCCGGGCUAGAGUAUGUCAGAGGGGGGUAGAAUUCCGCGUGUAGCAGUGAAAUGCGUAGAGAUGCGGAGGAAUACCGAUGGCGAAGGCAGCCCCCUGGGAUAAUACUGACGCUCAUGCACGAAAGCGUGGGGAGCAAAC
rnacentral:rRNA from 1 species